AAGGCUUGCCUCCCUCCAACCCCCCCCCCCCCCCGGGUUCCUUCCUUUUCUCGUUUGUGGCCUGGCCUUGUUGGGCCUCCAGCCUCUCUCACUUACCCCCCCUUCAUUUGCUUACUUGGGGCCCUCCUUCUCCGGCUUCCACAAGAUCAACCAGAGCUCUGGUGAGCAUUUUGAGCCCAGCGUCUUCCCCAGUGCUGCAGGAGCCCUUAAGGGCCCAGCCUGGGUGCAACACAGACAGGGCAGCUUCCUUCUUUUCCUCCUACCUCUCCUCCUUCACCCUUUAAGAAGCUGCCACCGCUUCGACUGGCCUACAGAGCCUUACUGGUGCAUGCAUGAGGGAGCUUUUUUCCCCGCGCCUUUUUUCCCCACCCAAAAAAGGCUUUCGGCAUCUAUUAAUGUGGACCAUGCCGAGUCAAACUCUGACACGGAACAAAGGAUGGUGGAGCAGGCUUUCAUCUUAGCCAAAAUUGAAGAACUAGAGAAGAAACAAGCCCCCUCUCAGUCUGCCGGUAAUAAGGCAGGGAUUAAGGGAAAAGAAAGUUUUAAUGCUUCUGUGUUGUCUCGUUUAGCAGCGUUGGAAAGGGACAUGGAUGCAGGAGAAUCUGCCAGCCCGAGCGCUUUUCAGCCCAAAGAUGUUCAACAGGAGGCAAUGGAGGGUAGAGGUUCUUUUCAUGAAGAUAUUCUGUUAUGCAAGCCACUCCCAUCCUCUACAAGCUGUAGUGAUUUGUUUCCCCUGCUUGAUGCCUUCUUCAUUGAAAACACGAUACCGUGGAACAAUUGCAUUGACGUGUGCACAGAUGGUGCGAAGAUCAUGUUUCUGGCAUUAUCAUAAGAAUCAAGAAAGUUUCAAAAAACUGCACAAGUAGUCAUUGUGCACUACACCAACAUUCCCUCACAAUGAAAAAAAAUGCAGCUUUAUUAAAGCAGGCACCAUACAAUACCAUCAAAAUUAUCAACUUUAUUAAGGCAUGACCUUUGCAGUGUAGGCUGCUCAAAAUACGUGUGAAGAUAUACAAUGGGAAGUAUACAUGAGUCAUUGUUAUUACACACAUAAAGAACAAUGGUUGUUAUGAAGUAAAGCAUUCUCCCAUUUAUUAAACUUCAAAUGGAAGUUUCUUCACUUUUGAGUGAUGAAAACAGUUUGCUAGCAGAUUUUUUGAAUAAUCAGGAAUGGUUGUGCAAAUCAUUACUUGACAAAACUCUUUUUCGAAAAUGAACCAAUUCAGCACAUCCAUGCAUGGGAAAUGGAAGACAAUAUUCAAUGCUAAUGAUAAAAUUGCUAUGCUGAAGAAAAAGGUAAUGUUCUACAUGGAAAGCAUUGAGAAUAAUGAUCUGACAUGUUUCUCAUUGACUUCACACUUUUUAGAAGAAAAUAACAUAACAAAUUAAUCAUUGCCAGCAAUAAUAAUAAAAAAAUCUUAACAAUUUGCUUUAAAAUUGAAUCAAUACUUUCCAAGGUACACUCAGGAACUGAUUUGAAAGAAUUCUGCAUGGAUUGUAGAUCCAUUUUCAGUGAUGUUAAAGCUAACAGCCCUCACUGAGUUCCUUAUAGACAUGGUUUCAGACAGACACUGUCAGGGAUCAUUUAAAAGCAAACCACUUCCCUAAUUUUGGGCUCAGUUGGGGGAUGAGCUUUUGAUAUUAAGUUCAAAAGCUGAAUUGCUCUUACUGCCUUUUGGUUCUGCGUACCUAUGUGCAAUGGCCUUUUCGAGGUACAUGGCUACAAAAACUAAAUAUCAAGCUCAUUUGAAUGAAGAUGUUGUACAUCUUCAAUUGACUUCGGUGAAUCUGGACAUGGACAAACCCUGCUGAAAAAAGCAGGUGCAUCAUGCACAUUAAAUUAGGGUGUACAUUUAACACUGUAAGAUUUUUUUUCAAAUAUCUUAGCUAGUUGUUAUAUCAUUUUGUAGAUUUAAAUAAUGAAUAUCAUUUUCUCGAGUUCUUUUUUUUACUAUUGUUUCCUUUAUUAAUACAUAGACCUUAUUCAUACUUCUUUAUACAUAUGGUGUGUAAUAUGCCUCAUAGAACAUAGACAGAGAGUACUAAACACUAAACAUUUCUUGGGGCUCCAAGAUAAACUUUUGCUUCAGAAAGGGCUCCAUGGCUGAAAAUGUUUGGGAACUCCUGGUCUUGGCACAUCAUUUGUAAUUUUCCUUAAUGAAAAUAUGCCAUAUUAAACUUUUCUAUGUCCAGACAAAUAUAAAAAAAUUGUAUUUUAACAAAUGUUUCCCAUGUUUUUAUAAUAAAACCAAUUAGGAAAUGAUAUGUAUAACCCAGGAACAAAAAUAAUGUUACAUAGUGUUAUUCUUGAGGCAUGCUUUCUCAUUAAGUAGGCUCUCAUGCUUAGGGAAUGGAGGAAUCGGCCAUUUUCAGUUUCUAUUUGUUUCUAAUUUUUUUUACAACCUUAUGUGUUUUUUGGUUGAUUUUUUAUUUUGCAUGUCCUUAUCAGCUAUAUUUAUGUGCUGUGGGGGUUGUUUUGAAUAUGAAAGUAAGGAUAUUUUAGGUGCAAUCUCUCCUGAUAUAUGCUUUCUGUAUAGAAAUUUGUCCAAGAUGCAUAAUUCUUGUAACUAGUUUACCCAAUGUAAUCCUUUUUUAAACAUUGUUAUAACCUAUGUAGAAAUAUGUAUGCACCACACAUUUGUUCCCAAUAUAUUUUGUAUGCAUUUUAUUGAAGAAUUGAACUGCAAAAAAGGGAAAAUUUCAAAUAUGAAAAUUUCAGUUUUAUUAUUUUAUUUUUAUUUCAUGUCAAAAGCAUUGCAUAACAAACAAGUCCAAAAGUGAUAAAAUAAAGGAAUCACAAACAGCUAAAUAGUUUUAGACCAAAAGCGGGCAACAGCGACCGCAUUGUCUGUAGCUUUAAACAACUCCUCCUCCAUACAUGAGGCAGGGCAUUGUGGGCAAGCAUACAUAUGCGGAGUUGUUUGUUCAGCUCCACCGUCACACAAGGUGGAGGAUUCCUCCAGGUAGUGCCAUCUUGCCAGGUUGUCUUUUGGUCUGCCCACUCCGCUUUUGAGUCUGUUCAGGGACUUCCAAGUUGCCCAUUCUUGGUUUGCCUCUGGAGCAAGACCUUCAUAGGGGGCCAUCCAGUUGGAAUUGCCUGGUUUAGCUGCCCAGAGGGACACUCUUGCUGUUGCUGAAGGAACAUCAAGAGGAGUGGUGGCUCUCAUGAAGCUUUUCCUUGAUUUGAGUCUGGUGGGAGGAGGCUGAUAGUCAUGCAAUGGGUGGCUUUCACAAUGUUCGACCUUAUUUCUCUCACAGUUAGCAGCAACUUCCCGUCGCAUGUCAGGAGGGGCAAUGCCCGCUAACUUGUAGAG